GAUGAAGAACGUAGCGAAAUGCGAUAAGUAAUGUGAAUUGCAGAAUUCAGUGAAUCAUCGAAUCUUUGAACGCACAUUGCGCCCGCCAGCAUCCUGGCGGGCAUGCCUGUUCGAGCGUCAUUUCAACCCUCGAGCCCCCCCGGGGGCCUCGGUGUUGGGGGACGGCACACCAGCCGCCCCCGAAAUGCAGUGGCGACCCCGCCGCAGCCUCCCCUGCGUAGUAGCACACACCUCGCACCGGAGCGCGGAGGCGGUCACGCCGUAAAACGCCCAACUUUCUUAGAGUUGACCUCGGAUCAGGUAGGAAUACCCGCUGAACUUAAGCAUAUCAAUAAGCGGAGGA
rnacentral:misc_RNA from 1 species